GGAGAGGUGCCAGAGUGGUCGAAUGGGGCGGUCUCGAAAACCGUUGAGCCUUCACGGGUUCCCAGGGUUCGAAUCCCUGUCUCUCCG
rnacentral:tRNA from 2 species